rfam:Schizosaccharomyces cryophilus OY26 unplaced genomic scaffold supercont4.1, whole genome shotgun sequence.
GACUACGGCCAUUCCUAGGCGAAAACACCAGUUCCUGUCCGAUCACAGCAGUUAAGUGAAAAAGUCUGAGGGCCUCGUUAGUACUAUGGUUGGAGACAACAUGGGAAUCCGGGGUGCUGUAGGCU